GUGAUUCAUUUUGUUAAUUGUAACUUGUGAGUAUGCGAUUUCAGGAAUAUCUUUAGCGUUUCAAAGAUUUCGAUUAUCUUGCUUGAAUAUAUUUGUUAUCAGGAUUUUAAUUGUAGUUUAUGCAAAUCGUAGGUAUUAGUGAUAUUGAUAUACAUAACUAUACGAUAAAUUUGAAAGCAAAUGAUUUUGAUGUUUGUCUCAUAACUAUACGUUCUGAACUCUGUUGUCAUCCUUGCCUUGUGGUGGAUUCUCACUGAUCAAUGCUCGCUCCUUCUUUCUUAUCAACUCUGUCCCUUACGUGGCACUCUCAUAUUCUAUUCUAUCUUGCGUGUUCUUCUCGUUCAGUGCUUUCCCGUAUAAUGACAUUGCCAAGUUUGGGUAUGUUGCAUUGGGACGAUCCAAGUUCACAGGAGAGAAAGACUCAAGCCAAAGCAAUUCUCCAACUUUACAAAAUGCUAGUCAUGUAAAAAGACCAGCUAGCCUGGGAGGGUUGUAGUGAAAUAUGGAGAAGCAGUGAUAGAAGUAGAAGCAUCUGGACGCGUAGCCACGAACGGUGCGGCGAUCGGAGUUCGGAUGAAGAAGUUAUGGUGGAUAGAAAUUGGAACGAGGGUUUGAAACCCUUUUCUUCCCCCUCCUUGUGCUUCAGCGUGCUCCUUGCUGAAAUGGGGAGGAAGAUGAGCUUUGGCUCAUUUUAAGUGAUGAAUUGGUUGGGCCCACGAGUCUGGUUUGGGUCUGGUUCGACCGGUUCGGCCCGUUUGGCCCAAUCUUGGGCCAAAUUCUUUAAAAUUAGUGUCAAAAUUUUCGUUUUAAAGAUCUCUAUUCUAUUUUAAUAUAAUAUUCACAUUUUUAAUUUUAUUUUCUUAAAAUUUAAUUUAUUGACUAAUUAUUUACUAAUUUAGCUGGGUUUACAUUAGGCAGAUUAGAACAAUCAGCAAAAAAGAAAUAAUCAAAGGAUAGCUUCAUUAUACAAGGUCCUGUCAACCCAGAGCAAGUGUCACUGUCUCCUAAGACAGCACAGUAAAGAUAAACACUACAAAGGAGAACUAGUAGAACAAGAGCUGACAAGAGGAAUCGGUGCCUCUCCAUGAGUGUUGACCAAUUUCCUAGCUCAUUCUUAAUUAAGAAGGUGCUAACAAUUUGAGUCGAUAAGCAACUUACCAAGCAUAACCUCGCUUCUGGAAAGGUGGUGCCUCCUGCAGUGUGAAGAGAGGAACCUCGAGUCAAUUUUCUGAUAGUUGUAUUUCUCGCCUGUAAUUGCCUAUAGGCAUCAGUAUCCCAACGUCUCAUCAAUUCACCAAGAACUUCUGGUGGGAUCCAAUAUGGGUGGGCUCCUUUUUUACGAAUGGCAUGGAGCAUACCUCGCAGGCAUUUGAUAGCCCUAAACCUCCAAACUUGAUAGAUAUCGUCCUCUUCCGUAUCAAGAAUGUCAAAGCAUUUCUAUUUUAAAAAAGAAAUACCAUCUUGCUAUUAUAUAAAUACUAUAAUAUAUAACAUUGUAAAAUACGUAAAAAAGAUGGAUAAAAUUUACCUCCAUUUUGUCCACCAUAUUUUUCGAGU